CGGGACCAGCACCAGGGCGUUCAGCAAAGAUGCCGGCUCAUCCUGAGGAUGCCCAGCUCCCAGGGGCAGCGGCAGGUCCCCGAGGCAACGACACCAGGGAGGUGAAAAGACUGGGUGCACCGAUGGGUGAAUGAUGCUCAAGGCAAACACUUGCCAAAGAUAGGAAAAUGCCUCCCUGGAUACCAACAACAACACAGCCUGGAGAAAGGUGUUAACACUGGAUGAGCGACCCGGGGUCCUCACGUCGAGAGGAACAACCGGGACCCCAGUGCAGAGAAGCAUAGAGUGAGGGAAGACCAAUGGGACGCUGCUGGAGCCAAGCUUCUUGGCCUGUUGUCUGUUCAAUCUCUUCCUCACCUCACCCCAGCCUUGCUCUUCCCCAUGCCUCAGCCCCCUCAACUUUUUUCCAGCCCACCACAUCCCACCCCAGAUCUUGCCAUGCCCAGCCCCUCUAUUUGCACCCCAACCACCCUGCAGUUCCCCCUCUUUCCUUCUCACCCUCCUCUUUCCUAUCCCUUUCUGUACCCCACAUUGGCAGUGAAAUAAAUCUCUGUUGUUGAUUUGGA